UACGGAGGGAGCUAGCGUUGUUCGGAAUUACUGGGCGUAAAGCGCACGUAGGCGGCGAUUUAAGUCAGAGGUGAAAGCCCGGGGCUCAACCCCGGAACUGCCUUUGAGACUGGAUUGCUUGAAUCCGGGAGAGGUGAGUGGAAUUCCGAGUGUAGAGGUGAAAUUCGUAGAUAUUCGGAAGAACACCAGUGGCGAAGGCGGCUCACUGGACCGGCAUUGACGCUGAGGUGCGAAAGCGUGGGGAGCAAACAGG
rnacentral:rRNA from 1 species